rnacentral:rRNA from 1 species
CCAAAAACAUAGCCCUUUCUAUAAUAAAAGGUGAUACCUGCCCAUUGAUUUACAAUUAAAGAAAUAAUUACACUAAAAGUAGAUUAAAAGGACGCGGUAUCUUGACCGUGAUAACGUAGCAUAAUCAUUCGCCAUUUAAUUGAUGGAUAGUAUGAAAGGUAAAACGAGUAUAGCACUGUUUUAAAAGGAAAACUUAUGAAAUUAGAAUAAUAGUAAAGAUACUAUUUAAAACUGUAAGACGAGAAGACCCUAUAGAGCUUAACUAUAACUCUUUUGACAUAAAUGAAUUAAAUUCUAGAACUAGAGAGAUAGAUGGUUUAGUUGGGGCGACUACUUUCUAAAUAUAACGAAAGCAAGCAAAAUUAAUUAAAAAAUUUACUGUAUAAUAGAUCUAUUUACCAGUUACCACAGUAGGUAAAAGUGACCCGUUAUUAAUAUGUAAGAGUAAUAACGAUCAAUAAAUAAAAGCUACCUUAGGGAUAACAGGAUAAUCUUGUUCUAGAGAUCUUAUCGAAAACAAGGUUUGUCACCUCUAUGUUGAAUUGAGACAUCCAGGAAAUGCAGAAGUUUCCAAAGGUAGGUCUGUUCGACCUAUAAAGUCUUACAUGAUUUGAGU